AUAAUGCAAGUCGAGCGAACUGAUUAGAAGCUUGCUUCUAUGACGUUAGCGGCGGACGGGUGAGUAACACGUGGGCAACCUGCCUGUAAGACUGGGAUAACUUCGGGAAACCGAAGCUAAUACCGGAUAGGAUCUUCUCCUUCAUGGGAGAUGAUUGAAAGAUGGUUUCGGCUAUCACUUACAGAUGGGCCCGCGGUGCAUUAGCUAGUUGGUGAGGUAACGGCUCACCAAGGCAACGAUGCAUAGCCGACCUGAGAGGGUGAUCGGCCACACUGGGACUGAGACACGGCCCAGACUCCUACGGGAGGCAGCAGUAGGGAAUCUUCCGCAAUGGACGAAAGUCUGACGGAGCAACGCCGCGUGAGUGAUGAAGGCUUUCGGGUCGUAAAACUCUGUUGUUAGGGAAGAACAAGUACGAGAGUAACUGCUCGUACCUUGACGGUACCUAACCAGAAAGCCACGGCUAACUACGUGCCAGCAGCCGCGGUAAUACGUAGGUGGCAAGCGUUAUCCGGAAUUAUUGGGCGUAAAGCGCGCGCAGGCGGUUUCUUAAGUCUGAUGUGAAAGCCCACGGCUCAACCGUGGAGGGUCAUUGGAAACUGGGGAACUUGAGUGCAGAAGAGAAAAGCGGAAUUCCACGUGUAGCGGUGAAAUGCGUAGAGAUGUGGAGGAACACCAGUGGCGAAGGCGGCUUUUUGGUCUGUAACUGACGCUGAGGCGCG
rnacentral:rRNA from 2 species